CAACAGGUUUUUAUUUGCUUUUCAACAUCCAUUUCAUAGUGGUACAUGUGGCUUUGAUUAAUAUUACCAUAAAGACUGCCAAAAAGGGGUGUGGUACGGAAUCCCAGAAAUGGCAUGAGUUCAACAUCAAACAUGGCUUAGAAUUUUAGCGGGGGAUCAAGUCAAGUCUGGAAGUGUUACAGGAUGGAAGAGUGAGCCUACAGUUGAAAAAACACUGAGAGUGCAUUACCAUUAAGUUCUGUCACAGCUAGAAGCCUCAAAUAAUUCUGCUUCUCUUGCUAAAGAACAACUUGUCCUUUACGUUCAGAGUGUUGGUGAAGAUGGGUACUUAAAUGGCCUUAAAGAUGUUUCACUUCGCUGGCAUUGCAGUGAUGAACACCAUACAUGGACUCUUUAGGUAUGAACGGAAUUUUCUUGAAAAAAUUUUGAAUUUAUGACGAAGCA